UGAAUGGACGUCUCCAUUUGAAGGGAAAGAUAUCUUUACUUUACCCAGACAGUUUGUUUCAUCUCCUUCACUGUAGGGUGGGGCGGUAUGAUUUCAAUGAAUAAAAUAGAGAAAAAAAAACUGGAAAAUAUGUUGAAUUUGAUAUUGGUUCUUAUCGUACUAUUGUUGAUUGUUGUUGAAUAUCCAUAUAAUUGGAAAAAAAAAAAAUGGCAUCCGAUAGUCCUCU
rnacentral:misc_RNA from 1 species